CAGGUUAUUAGCCCAGUUGAAGCUGCUGGGUAUAUUGUUGUGGUGGAUGAGUUGCUCACAGUACAGAACUUAUCUUAUGACCGCCCUACAAUUUUAGUGGCAAGAAGAGUAAGUGGAGAAGAAGAAAUUCCAGAUGGUACAGUUGCUGUGCUGACACCUGACAUGCCAGAUGUUCUAUCCCAUGUUUCUGUGCGAGCAAGAAAUAGCAAGGUUUGCUUUGCCACAUGCUUUGAUCACAACAUUCUGGAUAAUCUCCGAGCAAAUGAAGGGAAAUUAAUGAAUCUGAAACCUACCUCAGCAGAUAUAGUCUAUAGUGAGCUAAAGAAGGGCGCGCUAGCAGAUUCAAGUUCAAAUAACUUGAAAGAAGUUGGUCCUUCACCUAUAAAGUUGAUCAGAAAGAAGUUCAGUGGUAGAUAUGCCAUAUCAUCGGAGGAGUUUACCAGUGAAAUGGUUGGUGCCAAAUCACGCAAUAUCUCACAUCUGAAAGGAAAAGUACCAUCCUGGAUUGGGAUUCCUACAUCAGUUGCCUUACCAUUUGGAGUUUUUGAGAAGGUUCUUUCAGAUGGUUCAAAUCAACAAGUGGCUAUGAAUUUGAAAGUGUUGAAGAAAAAGUUGGAACAAGGAGAGUUUAGUCAGCUCAGGAAAAUUCGCAAGACAGUUUUACAGCU
rnacentral:misc_RNA from 1 species